GCGCAGGAAUGUGAAAGGCGCGCGCCCGCCGCCAUUUUCUCUCUUUCUUGGCAGACAGCGGCAGCGGCCGGAGCGGCGCCGGGGAGGCCAUGGCGGACUAUUCCACGGUGCCCCCUCCUGCCGCGGGCGCGCCCGGGGGAGGUGGCGGCGGGGCUGGAGGAGUGAACGAUGCCUUUAAAGACGCGCUGCAGAGGGCUAGGCAGAUUGCAGCGAAAAUUGGAGGAGAUGCUGGCACAGCAAUGAAUUCAAACGACUACGGUUAUGGAGGGCAGAAAAGACCUCUCGAGGAUGGAGAUCAACCAGAUGCUAAGAAAGUUGCUCCCCAGAAUGACUCUUUUGGAAAUCAGCUACCACCGAUGCAUCAGCAGCAAAGGUCUGUGAUGACAGAGGAGUACAAAGUUCCAGAUGGGAUGGUUGGAUUCAUCAUUGGCAGAGGUGGAGAGCAGAUCUCACGCAUUCAGCAGGAGUCUGGCUGCAAAAUACAGAUUGCACCCGAUAGUGGAGGCCUGCCUGAAAGAUCAUGUAUGCUAACUGGGACACCAGAGUCUGUUCAGUCAGCAAAAAGAUUGCUUGAUCAGAUAGUUGAAAAGGGAAGACCUGCACCUGGAUUUCAUCAUGGUGAUGGACCUGGAAAUGCAGUCCAAGAAAUUAUGAUUCCAGCAAGUAAAGCAGGAUUAGUUAUUGGGAAAGGUGGAGAGACAAUUAAACAAUUACAGGAGCGGGCAGGUGUCAAAAUGGUCAUGAUUCAGGAUGGCCCACAGAACACUGGUGCAGACAAGCCCCUUAGGAUAACUGGAGACCCUUAUAAAGUUCAGCAAGCCAAGGAAAUGGUGCUGGAGUUAAUUCGCGACCAAGGUGGCUUUAGAGAGGUGCGCAACGAGUAUGGGUCAAGAAUAGGAGGAAAUGAAGGGAUAGACGUUCCAAUACCACGAUUUGCUGUAGGUAUUGUAAUUGGAAGAAAUGGAGAGAUGAUUAAGAAGAUCCAGAAUGAUGCUGGUGUUAGGAUCCAGUUCAAGCCAGAUGAUGGAACAACUCCAGAUAGAAUAGCCCAGAUCACAGGGCCUCCUGACAGAUGUCAGCAUGCUGCAGAAAUUAUUACAGAUCUCCUUCGCAGUGUUCAGGCUGGUAACCCUGGUGGGCCAGGACCUGGUGGUCGAGGACGGGGUAGAGGCCAAGGCAACUGGAACAUGGGGCCUCCUGGUGGAUUACAGGAGUUCAAUUUUAUUGUCCCUACUGGCAAAACUGGAUUAAUCAUUGGAAAAGGUGGUGAAACUAUUAAAAGUAUAAGCCAACAGUCUGGUGCUAGAAUAGAACUUCAGAGAAAUCCUCCACCUAAUGCAGAUCCAAACAUGAAGAUGUUUACUAUCCGUGGGACACCCCAGCAAAUAGAUUAUGCACGACAACUUAUAGAGGAAAAGAUUGGAGGUCCAGUGAAUCCAUUGGGUCCCCCGGUUCCCCAUGGUCCCCAUGGUGUUGUUCCUGGCCCACAUGGACCUCCUGGGCCACCAGGUCCUGGUGCUCCCAUGGGACCCUACAACCCAGCUCCUUACAACCCAGGCCCUCCUGGUCCUGCCCCUCAUGGUCCUCCAGCUCCAUAUGCUCCACAGGGAUGGGGAAAUGCUUAUCCACACUGGCAGCCACCAAACCCACCAGACCCAGGUAAGCCAGGAACAGAUCCCAAUUCAGCAGCGUGGGCAGCUUAUUAUGCUCACUAUUACCAGCAGCAAGCACAGCCACCACCUGCAGCCCCUCCUGGUGGACCAGCUACAACCCAAACCAAUGGACAAGGAGAUCAGCCAAAUCCAGCACCAGCAGGGCAGGUUGACUAUACCAAGGCCUGGGAGGAGUACUACAAAAAAAUGGGUCAAGCUGUGCCUGCCCCUGCUGGGGCUCCUCCAGGCGGGCAGCCAGAUUACAGCGCGGCGUGGGCCGAGUACUACCGGCAGCAGGCAGCGUACUACGCUCAGACAAGUCCCCAGGGAAUGCCACAGCAUCCUCCAGCACCACAGGGCCAAUAAUAAGAAGUGGACAAUACAGUAUUUGCUUCAUUGUGUGGGGGAAAAAACCUUUGUUAAAUGUAUGGAUGCAGACGCCUUGAUGAAGAUCUUAAAUUUGGUUUAAAAAAAUAGUGUUUUUGAAAAUGUACAAAAUAUCUAUCACUACUGAUAGGAGGUAAUAUUUCUGUGUAGAAAUGAAAAAAUGGUUUGUUUUUAGUAUUAGUGUAGAUGUACACAUUCCAGCAAAUGUAUUUGCAAUUAUGUGGUCAAUGCUUUGUGAUAUAAAUGUACUUUUUCAAUGUAUACUUUAUCACUUUUAAAAUGCCUGUUUUGUGCUUUACAAUAAAUAAUAUGAAACCUCCUGUGUCGGUAAGUUGGAUAUGUGGGUAUAUGCAGUAUUGAUUAUAGGAUUGAUUUGCAACGCUGAAUCAAGGUACCGCUACACAAAUGAGUUGGGUUUUUUCCCCCCCCAUAAGCCUUGCUGAGUUUAAAAACUUGUCAUUAGCAUGUUUUUCCCCUCUUGCAGAAUAGCUGUAGAUGGAGGAUCUCUUUCAUUCAUUGUAUUUUGCUGCCUAGCACCAGUAAUCUCGAUACCUUAAUUUUUUUUCUACUUGAUUAAAACUGCAUGUGUUUAAGAAGAUGAUCUUUUGGCAUACUUCCAUUGCAUUAACAGUGAAAUUUCCUUUUAUACAUGACCACUGUUUCAGACCUGUGCAGCUGCUAUAACAGAUAACUUUUGUUGUUAAUUGAAUACUUCAAAACUGUUCCUGCAUAACUAUUCUAUGGAUUUUUUCAGACUAGUUAUAAAACUACUUUAAGUGUAAUGUGCUUAAGCCUUCAGUUUAAAGUAGUCCACUUCAAAACUCAGUGUAGAAAAGUCAAUGUGGUAAUGCAUAGUAGUUACAAAAAUUGCGUCUGUCCUUAAAACGCUGUUUUGUUGGAGUGAUGGGAGUGGUUGAGAACUUCCUGCAGAGCAGAUAACUUCUCUUUUUGUAAAUAUUCAAGUAUUUGAAUCAACUGAUUAUUUUUUUAUAUAUACUUGAAGCUUCUUAUUGCUCUAAUGCUCAUACUAAAAAGCUGAUUCUCUUGAAAUCCUGUGUUUGCUCUUUGCAUAUUUAUUGGCUCUUUGCAUAUAUUAGACUACAUGCACUACAGUCUGUCUUGCCAUUGUCUGUUGAAGUGCAGGUUUGAUCCAGCCAGUAUAGAACUAGCUCUAUAGGGGUGAGGAGGACUGUGCUGUGUAUCAUCCUUGAUUGUUCCUUCAAGGAGCAUUGCACUUGCCUUCCCAGACCUUCCACCUUAGGUUCUGCUGCAAAAAAGCAACAGGUAAGCACAACCUAAGGAAGUAUAUAAAUUAAUAUAUUUCAGUACAUUAAUGUUGUCCCUGUGAGAUCUUUGUGGUUGUGUAUUGAAAAGCAAUCUGCUGCUUCCCCAAAUGCAUUGUUACUCACGGUUCCAUUUGAAUGGAAAAUCUUAAGUUUUUAAACAACUGUUUAUAUUUCUAGGUCAAUAUGUAUUUUUUCUUUUUUCUUUUUUUUUUUUUUUAGAAAAGAAUGUUAGAUUGCAGUAAUUGAACUUGAUCAGAAUAAGUAAUUUUUGUUAUUUUACCCAAAUAGAUAAUUGUUGCAAUUAAAGAAUCAAAACCUUUAAAAUGUGCAGGAAUUGCUUUGGUUAGAAAUGUCAACAGCCUUCACAAAUGUUUUUUUUUAUGAUAGGGCACUAUUCCCAUUAAUCCAUAAGACCUAAAUGUGAAGAAUGACUUCUUGUUGUUAUCACUGAACUUGAUAACUUGUCUUACAGUUCUAGUGUGUUAGUGGAGUUUGCUUAUUAAUACUUGACAUGGUAGGAAAAGAGAUUUUGCAGUUUGAGAUGAGUAUGUUUUAACUGAACAAGCAUGAGCACCAGUUAACAGUACAGCAAAUAAUAUUUUAUUGCUAUAGCAGUCAGUGUAUGCUGUUUCUUGAUAUUUUUAACUGAAUUGCUGAAUAUUUUGAUAGUAUAAAAUGUUAAAUGUCUUACAGAUGGUCUGGUACAGGUUUUUAUUCUGAGCUUUUGUUGUUGGUUUUUUUUAGCUUAACAUAAAGCAGCAUCUGUUUGGGUUUUGUUCAUUAUUCUGCUUCUAAAAUGUGCUGCUCCUCUUUCAAAAGUCCUGCUUAUCUGUACAUCAAAGAAAAAUAUUCAAAAAUACUGCCUUCAUUUUCACACACAGUGCUGAAGAUGCUGCAAGCACCAAAUCAUAGCUCAUAGAAUCAGGUCCUGAGAUAGUUACUACCAGUAAAGAGGAAUCCUUUGAGUGUAUGCCAUUGGUGAGCCGAUGAGCAUGGACCGUAGAAGGGCUCCAUGUAGAAGGUAAAAUUGGCAAAAGCAUAACAGAUUUGAAAUGUAUCCCAUACAUAAUGAUAUAGGGUAUAAUUUUUGUUUUGAUCACUUUUCAUUCUUUAAAGUAUUCUUUGUUUGACCAUUAAUGUUCCAUAAUCUGUUAAAGUUUUUUAAACUGUGAUUUAAUAAUAUAAACCAUCUAUUUUACUUUAUAUUCUUCUAAACAGUCAAGCUAAUUUUUGAACUGAAUUAAUAGUUGUUAUUCAGUUUCUCAAGCCACUUAGUAUUUCAUCUGCAGCUUAACAUGUAACUUCAUUUUUGAUGUGAGAAGAGGGUAGGUGUGUACCAUUUGGAUUUUGAUACUGUGGAUUUAGUGUGGGGGUGAGUCAUUUGUUCACUUCCUUUUUACAUGGUACUUUUUCCUUCAACUGUUGCUCCUGAAAUAUCUUGAACAGUCUUUCAGUUGCUAAUUUAGCCUGUGGGAGGAGAUAGAGAAGAAAAAGCCAGUGUAUUGGGAUGUUACUAGUGUGGAAGGUGAGAUUUUUUCUGUGUAGCAUUUGAGGUGUAUUGGCUUCCAGCUUUCUCACUGCAGGGCUUACAGGCAUGCUGGUCUGUGCAGAGCACCGUGUUCCUUUUCUGUUUCAACUCUUGUCUCCAAACUCAGAGUUCCUGGGACAGCAGUAGAUUAUUGGAGUUACCCCAGUAGCAAAAAAGAUAACUGAAUUUGCUUAGAAAUGCAGUGGACUUGUCCAAAAGAUGUCUUGAAAUGUUUCCUGCUUACCCCACCCAUCACCUCUUAGUGUCCCACAGUGAAUGUGAAGAGUAAGAAAAGUUUGAAAAGCAAGCAUUAUGUUCCAAGUAGGAAAAGAAUUUUCAUAUCACUUUCUGCAGCCUAUACUUAAUUAGGACAUUGAAUAAGAUACCAGGUGGAUUCUCUAUAGGGUGGCUUUAUUGUAAGUCAUCUGUUUCACUUGUCAGGCAGAUAGGAUCACGAUUCACUUGCACAGCCUAUCUUGAAUUAUUUCAUCUUUAUACUAGUGAUAUUUUACUGGAUGGUAGAAACUGUUUCUCCCCAUUUCUUUCCAGAGUAAUUCUUAAGUUUUCCAUUGCAUGCUAAAAGUUUUUCCAUUUUACUUUUUCUCCAGAAGUGGGGGGAGGAAGGGAGGACUGGGCUUUUCAGAAAGCAAACAGUUGACAGGAUUCCCUCUUCCCUAGUACUAGCUUAUGAAACUCUUGUGUAUGCACAAAUAUUUCUCUUGCGUGCAUGUGAAAUGCCUUUUCGUCCUGAGAAAAGUGUUCUCUGCAGAAACUACCCGUGUGUAAACAGAAGAUUGGCUUUAAAAGGCAACUGUGAUGGGAACAGUGUCUUAGGGAGAUGCAGCUUGGACUUGAGGUAAAUUGAAUGCUUUACAAAAAUGUGGUUUUGAGCUUGCAUUGACAUUGUAUGUAAUAUGGGUACACAUUAACUGUAUAAUGGUUUUGUAUGGUUUUUCUCAAUAAAUGUAAACUGAUGAAUAAUAA